GGCAGUGUGGCAUAGUGGUAAGGUUUAGGGCUCAUAGCUGAAAGGUUGCUGGUUCGAUUCCCCGCUGGGG